ACUCAAAUGAAUUGACGGGGGCCCGCACAAGCGGUGGAUUAUGUGGUUUAAUUCGAAGCAACGCGAAAAACCUUACCCGGAUUUGACAUCCUCUGACAACCCUAGAAAUAGGGCUUUCCCGCAAGGGACAGAGAGACAGGUGCUGCAUGGCUGUCGUCAGCUCGUGUUGUGAAAUGUUGGGUUAAGUCCCGCAACGAGCGCAACCCCUGGGGUUAGUUGCCAGCAUUAAGUUGGGCACUCUAAUCCGACUGCCAGCGUUAAGCUGGAGGAAGGUGGGGACGACGUCAAGUCCUCAUGGCCCUUACAUCCGGGGCUACACACGUAAUACAAUGAGUAGGACAAAGGGUUGCCAACCCGCAAGGGGGAGCUAAUCUCAAAAACCUGCUCUCAGUUGGGAUUGGAGGCUGCAAUUCGCCUCCAUGAACGCGGAAUCGCUAGUAAUCGUGGAUCAGAACGCCACGGUGAAUACGUUCCCGGGCCUUGUACACACCGCCCGU
rnacentral:rRNA from 1 species